AGUAUAAAGCACCUUGAGGCGACUGUUGUUGUGAUUUGGUGCUGUAUAAAUAAAACUGGAUUGAACUGAAUGUUUCUUGCUAAUAUUGAUUAUAACUCAGCUUGUAGAUUUCAUGGUCCUGAGUCUGACGACUCAGUGUUUUGUGUUUCCUCAUGUUGUUCUAUGUUCUUGUUUAUUCUGAUUAUGUCUUUCGGUAAGGUUUGCCAUUUGUUAGGUCUCUGUUCUGUGCCUGCCUGCUCCCACUUCUGUGUCCCCUCUGUCUGUCCAUGGUGUCACAGUGUCUGCUCGUGAAUCUGUCUGUUACGUUCAGUGUCUUGUCUGGUUCUGUGUCUGUGAGUUUCCUGUUUUAUUCUGAAGGUCUCUGUCUCAUGUGAGUGUUCUCAGCUUUACGUCUGUGUCUCGUCAGCCCUGAUUUCUCUCAGGUGUGUUCCCCUCCUGUCUCCCAUCCCAUGAUUACUCCUGUGAGUAUUUAAGCCCUGUGUGUUCUCCUGCUUGUUGCUGGUUUGUCUGUGUUGCUUCCCUGAGUCUCCCUGCGGCUCUGGUCUGGUUUCAGGCCGGCUUUCUUCUUGUUUCUUCACCAGGCUUCUUGAAGGACAGUCGAAAGAUCUUCUUUGAUUGAGGUUCAAGCUCUGGGGAGACUACCAGGACCUGGAUGAACCAACACAGACAUGGUGCAACAUCAGCUGCAUACAAAGAGUCUUCCAUUUGAUUUGUGAACAUCCAUUUUUGUUGUUGUUGCAGUAAAACUCAGUAAACGUGUUGUUUUGUUGCAAUACUGACACCAUUUACAAUGUUAUGACAGUGAAGAGCAGGAUGCUGAGGUUGUAAUAAUCAUCUUGUUCCUCACAUAACCUGCUUUUUUUUAGUCUGGUCCAACUGUUAAAUUAGAGCCAGAUCAUUAAAUAAAUAAUAUUUGAUUUAAAUCUAUAUGAUGCUUUUACUAAGAAACAUACUCAUGCAUAGGCAACACGUUCUCACUCCAAAAUUUCAAUUUACUUAUUUUUCACCUUAAAAGUAUGUCACUGUUGCUCUUGUUCAUGUCGAAUAAAGUUCAAGAUGUAAUUCUUAGAAGUCCUAAAAGUGCAUAAAGUGGAUUAAGACAUACUGUAUCAGAGCCAUCUGCCGUUCAACGCUGGGGGAUAUGGUUGAAUAAUCCAGAAAAGUACAUAAGUCCACUUUGAGUUGGUACAGUUUUGUCAAACAGUGUACCUUCGUGCUUGAGCAGGUUGCUGUACAGACGACUGAGCAGGUAAAGUCAGACAGUGUGAGAUAAAAGGGUUUAAAAAAACACAAAAUGUUUGUAUCUGUGCCAAAUAAAAUGAUCAGACUGCAAAAAAAGAAACAACCAAAAUCUAAGGAUAAUCGAAUCAGAAGUGUUGCCUGCAUAAUAAACCUUUAUUGUAACACUUCAUACAAGUUAUGAACCGUUUCAUUUAAGAUUACACAGGAAUCUUAUUGGAAAGCAUGUGCUGAUUUGUAAAUGGAUUCGCUUGCUAGGUUUGUUCAUUAAUAUGUAUUGGUAUUGUACAACUGCAGGCAGAGCUCUGUAACCCAGCUACAGCCAUCAAGGGUACCCAUAAAAGAUAGUUGGAGCCGCCGUCACAUUAUAAGUUUGUAGACUUUAUGAAAACGAAGCAUCAAUGUCAGCUUUGUCACUGUCUUUGAAUUCUAACUUGGUUAGCUCUAAUUCUUGAAUUACAGUAACUUUGACUUGCUGCCUUCAGAAAGACUUGAGAUCUAUUCAAGCAAACAGGUCAUCUGAACAU